GACGAACGCUGGCGGCGUGCUUAACACAUGCAAGUCGAACGAAGUGGCGAACGGGUGAGUAACGCGUAAUCAACCUGCCCUUCAGAGGGGGACAACAGUUAGAAACGACUGCUAAUACCGCAUACUGAAGGAGGGGAUUGCGUCUGAUUGGCUGGGUGGAGGGGUAACGGCCCACCAGGGAGAUGAUCCGUAGCCGGUCUGAGAGGAUGAACGGGCAAAAUGGGACUGAGAAACGGCCCAGACUCCUACGGGAGGCAGCAGGGGGGAAUCUUCCGAAAUGGACGAAAGUCUGACGGAGCAACGCCGCGUGAGUGAUGACGGCCUUCGGGUUGUAAAGCUCUGUUAAGCGGGACGCGGUACCGGAAUAGAAAGCCACGGCUAACUACGUGCCAGCAUCCGCGGUAAUAC
rnacentral:rRNA from 1 species